ACAUUGGUGGUUUAGUGGUAGAAUUCUCAUCUUCCAUACAAAGCACCUGGGUUUGAUUCCCAACCAAUGUU
rnacentral:tRNA from 1 species